AGCUCCAAUAGCGUAUAUUAAAGUUGUUGCAGUUAAAAAGCUCGUAGUUGGAUCUCGGGUCCAGGCUCGCGGUCCGCCUCGCGGCGGUUACUGCCCGUCCUGACCUACCUCCCGGUGUUCCCUUGGUGCUCUUGACUGAGUGUCUCGGGUGGCCGGAACGUUUACUUUGAAAAAAUUAGAGUGUUCAAAGCAGGCAGCUCGCCUGAAUAAUGGUGCAUGGAAUAAUGGAAUAGGACCUCGGUUCUAUUUUGUUGGCCUUCGGAACUUGAGGUAAUGAUUAAGAGGGACGGACGGGGGCAUCCGUAUUACGGUGUUAGAGGUGAAAUUCUUGGAUCGCCGUAAGACGAACAACUGCGAAAGCAUUUGCCAAGAAUGUUUUCA
rnacentral:rRNA from 1 species